UUGGUCUCCUUAAUAUUUUCAGUCCAGAUUUGAUGUAUCAAAUGUCAAUAAAAAUGUCCAUUGACAGUAAGUUGAUAAGCUUGAAUGUUUAUUUACGAGAUCAUUUCAUUGUUUUAAAUAUUAUUCUCUUUUAAUAUUAAAAAAAAUAUUCUUAAACUUUUGUGUUAGUAUAUUUGUGUAUCCAUAAAAAUAGCUAUUAAGGCGACCAGGGAAAAAAUCAUAAUUUUGGUCAAAAAUAGCUAUAUACUAAGCAUUUUUUAUUUGUUUUACUUUAUUUAAAGCUUAUUGUAUAUUAUCCCGAAGUUUCAUUCCAUAAAAAACAGAAAUGAGGAAAUUCGAUAUUUCGUGUACCAUCAGCAUCCAAAUUUUCAAGUAUACAGAAAUUUAACUUUCCGGAAUAUAACGGAAAUUUUCGGGUAUCUCCGUGGUACCAUCUCCGUGCAAUCAUGCAGUAUGGCGUUCAUCUCUUACAGAAAGAGAAUGGUAACUUGUGUCAUGGAAAGCUGGAACUUUUCAGUACACAACAUGCAAACUGAGAAUGAACUGUGUGUGCCGGCUUUGUGAACAAAAACGCAAGGCGGCUAUGAUACACUGUGUUGUGUGUGGAUAAGAAAUGCAGAGUGGUACCACCAAUUACCUAAGCCACCAUUCCCCUAACAGACAAAAGGCUCAUGGGGACAGUUCCUGCAGUUUACAGCAAAUUGUAGCCCUACAAACUUCAGAUACUGCCAAGCUUGGGUGCACUGGGCCGGUUAUCCAGCCGUGUGGAAUCAACAUCUCCAGCUGAACUUGGGCCGGGAAUUAUAUAAGAAUCCUUAGCAGCAUGAGUGCCAGCCAGUCAUUGCUGUUCUUUGCAUUGCUGAGGAGGACAGUCCUGCCAACAUAACAGUUUGUUCAAUAACAGGAGACAAACAGAAACACAGAGGUGCUAUACAUUCCGAUGGAAAAUACAACAAAAUCUCCCAUCAUUUUGGCGUGGCUCAGAUCAGGAGGAGAAUUUUAAGAAAGGUGAUGGUUGGGCACACACAAGAAGACAUAGAUCACAUGUGUCCAGGCAUAUGAGUAGACAGGAGUUUCACACUCUGCCAAACUUACUUCAUCAGAGGAGCAGAAAGCUUCUCAAGAUCCCGCACUGCACACUUAGAUAUAGUCUUUGACUACAACAAGGGGAUGAAAGUACAGAGAGGUCCAAUUGAAAUCAAUUCUGUGCUGCGUCAUUUCUUCAUUCUGGAAGUCGAUGGACAUGAUUUAUCAUGGCAUCAGGUGUGCAGUUUGUCGACUAUCAGCAGUCUUGUUCACCAGUUGUGCAACUUGAGCUGGUAGCUUUAUUGCUUGAAGCCACAGCAUAAGAGGGGGAAGGUGCAGGCUCAUCAAAAAGUCUCAAAAGUUGAAACUAGGAAAAGAAGUUUGUCAAGAGUGUGAAUAUUUGCUUUGAAAACCAUCGUUACGAUGAUUUGGUUUCCUUUGAAACUUGAUACAUACUAUGUGUAUGUUGAAUGAAUUGAGAUGCUUAAAUAAAGAACCGCUAUUCAAAUAUCAGGAAACUGCAUUUUUCAUACUAAUGGGUAAAUGAUGUCGCCAUUUCCUGUAUGUAUUUAAAUGAGAUAUGUUUCCACAAUUAAUAUUUUUAGGGAAUUUUUCUCAUCCUAAUGAAUGAGAUUAAAUUGUACAGCGUUAUAUGAGCUUAAUAUGUGUUUUCUGGUUCUUUAAAAUUGGUGAAAAAUUGUCAGAAGAUAAUUAGACCAUUAUCCAUUACUGCAAUCACACAAUCAAAUAUACAGGGACAAACCCACUGGGCAUAUAAUAUAAUUAAACCCUGUUCAGGGGCACGAGGCAAACAGAGUUUCUUUCAAACGUUAAAGCUGCACUCUCACAUUUUGGACUCACAUUUUGGACGUUUUGACAACUUUUCUCAUUUUAUGUCUUGGAUUGGAACCAUCCAAUUUUUGCGAAAAAUUAAAUGGCAGAUUUUUCUAUUUAAGUUAAAACAUUGAUGUUUUAUGCACUUUUCUUAAACCGUUAGUAACAUUAAUUUUUGAACGGAAAUAUGAAAUCUGUGAUCUGAUCUUUUGUCAGCAAUCUUUUAUCAUUGGUUUGCAGAUAAUAACGCAAAAAAAUUGCUCAUUCAAAAACAAAAAAAGUUGUGAAAACGGUAUAUCUGUGGGAGUGCAGCUCUUAAUGUUUAAUUUCUUGAUUUUACUACUGUAUUAGAAAUUACAGGGGUUGGGGCAUAUUUUUAGUGUUUUUAUUGCUUUUUAUGAUUCAUACAGUCAUACUUUAUUCCUCAGGGCAUAACUUACAAAUAGACAACACUGGAAAAUGGUCGUUUCAAAAGGCCAAAGAUAAUGCAAGUUGAACAAUCAUAUUGUUCAUGGCUUGUAUUUUUGGUAUAUUUUGUUGCAUAUGCUAUAGAAAAGUUGAAAGUUAAAAAUAAAUUCAUAGUUGAAAUGAUGGCUUUGAAUGGUAUUGUCAGAUGAGAAAAGGCACUUUUCCUUUUAGAGAAAUAGGUAUAAUGGUACUUUAUUUAUUUUGAUCAAUUUUAGAUAUUGUAUGAAAAUUAUUAUCUUAUUUAGUACAUGAGACCUUUUAAACAGUUAUUGACAAUAUAACAAUGUGUAUAUGAAGCUUUAGAUCAACACUUAAAGCUGCACUCUUACAGAUUGUCAGUUAAGACACAAAAUUGUCUCAAAAUCUGCUGAUUUGGUUAUCAUUCCUUUAAUUCAGUCAUAUUAGAUAAUUCACAAUAGAACCCAUCAGAAAUGUAAAAGUGCCGAAAAUUUCAUUUACAUUAAAUUGUUCGUAAUGCUUUUAGCCAUAAAACAUCAUUUUUAGCUCCACUGGCCGUCGUGAGUUCGUGCGUGCGUGCGUGCGUGCGUAAACUUUUACUUUAAACGACAUCUCCUCUGAUAAGCGGAUUUUGACAAAACUUCACAGGAAUGUUCCUUUGGUGGUCCUUUACCAAAAUUGCUCAAAUGGUUCCGGUCCAUUGCACAAUAUGGCCGCCAGAGCUAAAAAUAGCAAAAUCUUUAAACGACAUCUCCUCUGAAACGGUUCGGCAGAUUUUGAUGAAACUUGACAGUAAUGUUCCUUGGGUGGUCCUUUAUUAAAAUUGCUCAAAUGGUUCUGGUCCAUUGCACAAUAUGGCCGCCACAGCUAAAAAUAGCAAAAUCUUUAAACGACAUCUCCUCUGAAACGGAUAGGCAGAGUUUGAUGAAACUUGACAGAAUUGUUCCUUGGGUGGUCCUUAACCAAAAUUGCUCAAAUGGUUCCGGUCCGCUGCACAACAUGGCUGCCAGGGCAAAAAAUAGAAAAACCUUUAAAGAACAUCUUCUCAGAAACCGAUGAUCAGAUUUUGAUGAAACUUAAUAGAAAUGUUCCUUGGAUGGUCCUUUAUCAAAUUUGCUUCAAUGGUUUCGGUCCACUGCACAAGAUGGCCACCAGAGGUAAAAAUAGAAAAACCUUUAAACGACUUCUCCUCAGAAACCGAUGAUCGUAUUGCAAUGAAACUUGACAGAAAUGUUACUUGGGUAGUCCUUAACCAAAAUAGCCCAAACAGUUCUGGUCUGCUGCACAACAUGGGCACCAGAGCUAAGAAUAGAAAAAAAACGUUAAACUACAUCUCAGAAACCGAUGAUCAGAUUUUGAUGAAACUUGACAGAAAUGUUCCUUGGGUGGUCAUUAACCAAAAUUUGUUAAAUGGUUCCAGUCCACUGCACACCAUGGCUGCCAGAGCUAAAAAAUAAAAAAAAACUUUAUACGACUUGUCGUCGAAACCGAUGACCUUUUUUCGAUAAAACUUGACAGAAAUGUUUGUUUGGUGCUCCUUUACUCAAAUUGCCCAAAUCAUUUCGGUCCACUGCACAACAUGGCAGCCAGAGCUAUUAAAGUAAAAAAUUUUUUUUAAAUAACUUCUCCUCAAAAAUUGAUGAUUAUAUUUCUAUGAAACUUGACGAAAAUGUUCGUUAGGUGGUCUUUGCUUGAACCUUUUGGCCAGUGGAGCACAGGCACUGAUGUGCCUCUUGUUUUAACAUAAAUAUGAUAAACUGCUAUCUGAUCUUUUUUCAGCAUUCUUAUAUCACUUAAAAUUGGGUCUAGACAUUUAUGCAAAAAAAUUGUCCAUUUAUAGACAAACAAUAAAAGAGUACCGGUAGUCAAAACGAUCAAUCGGUGAGAUUGCAGCUUUAAAUACACCUUUUAAGACCGCUGUAAAAUUCCAAUGGUUUGCCUAAAUCUUUAAAGCUAGCAUACUGUUUAAUUAACAACCAUACUUAUUGUUUAAAAGUGUCAUGAUAUCUUUGUACAAUGUUUUUUAUAUAAUUCAUUAAAGAAGUCAAAACAAAUUUGUUUAUCUUGUAAAUUGUUUUCUAUUAUUUAAAUGACCCAGACAAAAAUGGGAACGUCA